GGGUUGAGAAGAUAAUGGAUCAGAUUGAAAAGUACAUCAUGACUCAUCUCUGUAAAUAUGCGUUCUGUCCAGAACCCCAGUGAGCCUGGAAGACUGGGUGCUAUGGGAAAUGUCAUCAAUCCAAUGCUAGUGAAAGAUGUGACUGGGGAAUGCUGAAAAAUGCGCACCCCUGGGAGGAAUGAGGAAAGAUGACAUCCACUGACUUGUUAUUUUUUUGAGAAGGAGUCUUGCUCUGUUGCCCAGGCUGGAGUGUGGUGGCACGAUCUCGGCUCACUGAUGAUGAGAAGAAAGAUCUUGCCAUUCAAAAGAGGAUCAGAGUGGAAGCUUCUCUGUGGUGUCAGAAAGACGAGGAAUGUGGUGACCUCACCUAUCCAUCUCCCUCAAGGCAGCUUUUGUUUUUCUGCAGUGACCGUACUUGCAAUAAUUAAACAUAGUUGGUCAUUUAAAAUACAUCUCUGAUACUCUCGUCAAAGGUGGAGCCCAGUCCCUAUCGCCUUGAGUGAGGGCUGGGUUACGUGAUUCCCUUCUGACAGAUAGGAAAAAGCAAAAGUGAUGGCUUGCAACUUUGCAAACUACAUCAUAAAAGGUACUGUGGCUUCCUCCUUGCUCACUCUUUGAUUACUCACUUGGGAAAGCCAGCUGUCACACCAUGACACCUAAGCAGCCUGUAGAGAGGCUCAUGUAACAGGAACUGAGGCCUCCUGUCAGCAGUCACAUGAGGGAGCCAUCUUGGAAACAGGCUUUAGGUGACUGCAGUCUCAGUGGACAGCUUGAGUGCAAUGUCAUGAGACACCCUGAGCCCAAAUGACCCAGCUAUGCCACUCCUGAAUUCCUG
rnacentral:lncRNA from 10 species